rnacentral:rRNA from 1 species
GACGAACGCUGGCGGCGUGCUUAACACAUGCAAGUCGAACGGAAAGGCCCUGCUUUUGUGGGGUGCUCGAGUGGCGAGCGGGUGAGUAACACGUGAGUAACCUGCCCUUGACUUUGGGAUAACUUCAGGAAACUGGGGCUAAUACCGGAUAGGAGCUCCUGCUGCAUGGUGGGGGUUGGAAAGUUUCGGCGGUUGGGGAUGGACUCGCGGCUUAUCAGCUUGUUGGUGGGGUAGUGGCUUACCAGGGCUUUGACGGGUAGCCGGCCUGAGAGGGUGACCGGCCACAUUGGGACUGAGAUACGGCCCAGACUCCUACGGGAGGCAGCAGUGGGGAAUAUUGCACAAUGGGCGGAAGCCUGAUGCAGCAACGCCGCGUGCGGGAUGACGGCCUUCGGGUUGUAAACCGCUUUCGCCUGUGACGAAGCGUGAGUGACGGUAAUGGGUAAAGAAGCACCGGCUAACUACGUG